AUUGAACGCUGGCGGCAGGCCUAACACAUGCAAGUCGGACGGUAGCACAGAGAGCUUGCUCUCGGGUGACGAGUGGCGGACGGGUGAGUAAUGUCUGGGGAUCUGCCCGAUAGAGGGGGAUAACCACUGGAAACGGUGGCUAAUACCGCAUAACGUCGCAAGACCAAAGAGGGGGACCUUCGGGCCUCUCACUAUCGGAUGAACCCAGAUGGGAUUAGCUAGUAGGCGGGGUAACGGCCCACCUAGGCGACGAUCCCUAGCUGGUCUGAGAGGAUGACCAGCCACACUGGAACUGAGACACGGUCCAGACUCCUACGGGAGGCAGCAGUGGGGAAUAUUGGACAAUGGGCGCAAGCCUGAUCCAGCAAUGCCGCGUGUGUGAAGAAGGCCUUCGGGUUGUAAAGCACUUUCAGUAGGGAGGAAGGACUUAAUUCUAAUACAAUUAAGUAUUGACGUUACCUACAGAAGAAGCACCGGCUAACUCUGUGCCAGCCGCCGCUGUAA
rnacentral:rRNA from 1 species